rnacentral:tmRNA from 1 species
CACCUUGGCACCCUGCCCGACCUGUCCUAUCUAAGCCCUGUUCGGGUUCGCCCGGACUAUGGCGAUAAACGUGCUUGUAAUAAGCGGACCGGACCCGGGUGCGAUUCCCGGCGGCUCCACCAUCUUCUUCCCCGCGUUAUCGGCGGAGGCAGCAUGGGGCCGACUAGCAUCGACGGACGUGUAAAGAGGUUGCUUUCGCUCGACGUGGCUCACCGUAUUCGGGCCAAUUAAACUAAAUGCGAACGAUAACUUCGCUGGUGAAGUCCGCCUCGCUGCGUAAUGCGGUUCGGUGACUUCCGACUCAACUCCUAGGGGUUCAGAUCCUUAGGCGGGGCCCGGAGGGCGCCUGGCAACAGAAGCCCUCUACU